GGAAGGAUCAUUAACACGUAUCCAACGUUAAAACAACCCUGUGAACCUUCAUUCCUGCUCUCCUUGUGGCUUGAGAAAGCAAUCUCUGGUAAAUCACGCAAACAGUUUGAUUCAGAGACCUCUAUCUCAAGUAGCUUGGAUUUGAUGCGGUCGACGUAUGAGACUUGCCCUUGCGGGGUAGUCAGUGGGUGAAAGUGCCACUGGUUACUUAAGCGGAGGUACUGCACCUGGAUUAACCGGGGUUGGAUCAUCGCGUGUCAGCCACUGACCGAUGAACAAGUCUCCUGAGCACCAAGCUCCCGAAUAUUAACCCCGUCCCCAACCUUUGGUGAUUACUGGUCGCUUUGCGAUAGGUGUCAUCUGUGAAAGCUGAACAACUGUUAACAAUGGAUAUCUUGGUUCUCGCAACGAUGAAGAACGCAGCGAAAUGCGAUACGUAAUGCGAAUUGCAGAAUUCAGUGAAUCAUCGAAUCUUUGAACGCAAAUUGCGCUCUCGGGUUACCCCCAAGAGCACACCUCUCUGAGUGUCGGUUUAACCAAAUGUCACCAAUUUAUUGGUGUACGACAGACUGAGGGUAAGGAGUCUCGGCUUCUUUCCCUUUAAAACUCAGCCGCACGACUGUGUGUGUUCGUGGCAAGUUGCUUUCACUUAAUUGUGAAUCCAAUCCACAAACCCUAUGUUAUGUAGCCCAAAGAAACAAAUGAACAGAGUUGUGAACUUGAGAGCGAGUGGAAGCAGCGGCUGGGUCUCGGCUUAGCUGUUGCAGAAGCUUGUUUUUGGGCGAAUGUCUUUGUGCAUCUAUGAAUUAGACCUCAGAUGAAGUGGGAAGACCCCCUGAAUUUAAGCAUAUUAUUAAGGGGAGGAAAAGAAACUAACAAGGAUUCCCCUAGUAACGGCGAGUGAAGCGGGAAGAGCUCAAAUUUAAAAUCCGGCGGUCUAACAGCCUACGGAGUUGUAAUCUAGAGAGGCUCUCUCAGUGCCAGCCUGGUUAUAAGUCCCUUGAAACGGGGCAUCAUAGAGGGUGAGAAUCCCGUCUUUGAGCCGGAGCUAAGUACGUACGAGGAGUUUUCUAAGAGUCGCGUUGCUUGGGAGUGCAGCGCUAAAUGGGUGGUAAAGUUCAUCUAAAGCUAAAUACUGGCGAGAGACCGAUAGCGAACAAGUACCGUGAGGGAAAGAUGAAAAGAACUUUGAAAAGAGAGUUAAAAAGUACUUGAAAUUGUUAACAGGGAAGGGCAGGAAACCAGUCAUUCCUUCGUUCCAUUCGCUUUUCCUUCGGGAGGGGUUACUUGGAGCAGAGGAGAGUGAGCAUCAUGUGGAGUCGUCGUAGAAAGUGUGCAGGUUGGUGCGUUUCUUCGGAUUCGUUUAGCUUGUGCAUCCUACUUUGGCACUGCAUGAGGAGUGAUAACCCGCACCUUUCGGGGUACGGUACUUUGAGGCCUGUCUGCCCUAGCGCGUGAGAGAACAAAGUUCUGUCUGUGCGAAAGGUGGAUACUGCUUUGGAUGUGCCAGUUGCUGGGUUCGCGAUGCACACGAAAUGGUUUUCUUCCACCCGUCUUGAAACACGGACCAAGGAGUCUAACAUAUAUGCGAGUAUUUGGGUGACAAACCCUGAUGCGUAAUGAAAGUAAAGAGCCGCAAGGCUUGAGGUAGGAAUCUCGCCCUCGGGUGGGAGGCACUAUCGACCGAUCGUUCGCUUGCGGAAGAUUUGAGUAAUAGCAUAUCUGUUGGGACCCGAAAGAUGGUGAUCUAUGCCUGAACAGGGUGAAGCCAGGGGAAACUCUGGUGGAAGCUCGUAGCGAUACUGACGUGCAAAUCGUUCGUCUGAUUUGGGUAUAGGGGCGAAAGACUAAUCGAACCAUCUAGUAGCUGGUUCCCUC
rnacentral:misc_RNA from 1 species